GUCCAUCCGGGCCACUAAAACGUUUUCAAAAGGGUAAAAGGAACAUCGUAUUCUACAUUCUUAUUUUGUGGUUUAGUUAUACCGUGCAAACUACCUUAAUCAUCAUAUAACCGGAAUUAUAUUUGAAGCAUAGAAUUUGCCACGACACCGCCUAGACUGCAUACAGUACACAGCCGUGUUUGACUCAAGACUGGUUAUUGCAAAUUGUCAGCAUAUUUAGCUGAUCAACAUGGUCGUAGACGUACACGUAGAGUAUUGCGGAGCAUGAGGGUACGAGUCCAAGUACCGGUCACUGAAGAAUAAGCUGGCAGAGGUGUUUAGAGAUGGCAUCAAAAUGAGCUUCUUUGCCACGCCUAGAAUGACUGGAAACUUUGAAGUUAGUGUUAACGGAAAAAUGAUCCACAGCAAGAAGAAUGGUGAUGGAUAUGUCGACAAUGAGGCCAAAGUCGAAAAGAUCAAGAGUGCUAUUAGAGCUGCUUCUUGAUGUAGGAAAACGGCCACAGAUCACGGAUCAGAUUAGCUGAAGAACUUGGAGGUGUUACAAGGAGACACUUACAAUGACGGAACAAGAUGCAAAUCCUUCUUGUCUUGUACCAGAUGACCUUUAGUGCAACCUCGUGAUGACCUCUGACUUUGUCGGCUAUGACCUUGGAUCAGUGCCAAAAUAUUACUCCAUGAAAUAAUGAUUUAUUUUUACAUACAAUUAUAAGUUCAAUUUUAGAAGUAUCAGGGUUGUCAAUUCAUUUACACAGAGUUCACAUACAAGUUUGGUUGUAGAUUAAAAUGUAAGUUAGAAUUUUUUCGUCUUUUCAAAUUACUUUAUGUUCACUUACUUACAAAUAAUAACCCAGUACAUGUAUUUAAUAUUAUGGGUAGUGAAAUAUUCCCCUGCAGAUGAAAUUCAGGACAAAAUCUUUAACUGGAUCUAUUUUUCAUUAACUUUUUUUUGGAGUUGAUAUAAGUUUCUAGAAGAUCAGGUCUUUCUUCUAUUAUUUACUUUUCAUUGCAAGUGUUUUAACAGCAUCUUUUAUAGCAUGCAGCCAUGUGAUCAAAUCUUACUUUUAAAAAUAACUCACGAUCAAAAUCUUACUUUUCCAACUAAUCCAGUUUUCUGUAGUAAACAAAUUAUAAAACGUUUAUGCAGUGAUAUACGGGUGCAGAGGGUGUAUGUGAUCUUAACCCCUGGAGGUACGAUGGUUGCAGUGAUAUAGAAUUUUGUUUAGUUAUACCUCACAUUCCUACGAGUAUUUUAUCUUUACAUUUCUGUUUCCUUACUUUGUAGUAUACACAAUGUAAAAUAUAUAUUCAGGUCAUUAUUAAGCUAGAGCGAGGUAUUUUACAAUUUGGUAUGUAAUUUCACCAGCAUUCAUGAUUAAAUAAAUGUCUACAAAUUCAUUAAAGUUAAACUUGUAAAGUCCGCUCCUUUACGAUACACUACAAUGUAGUAAGUAGAGGAAUGAAAACUUUGAUUCCAAAUGAGACUGUAUCAUUUAAACAUUUGUGUUAUCCUGUUCGGUUAGACACGAUAUAGUGGAAAUAAAACAUUUUGAUAUCAAA